rnacentral:rRNA from 1 species
AAUAUUGCACAAUGGGCGAAAGCCUGAUGCAGCGACGCCGCGUGAGGGAUGACGGCCCUCGGUUUGUAAACCUCUUUCAGCAGGGAAGAAGCGAAAGUGACGGUACCUGCAGAAGAAGCGACGGCUAACUACGUGCCAGCAGCCGCGGUAAUACGUAGGGCGCAAGCGUUGUCCGGAAUUAUUGGGCGUAAAGAGCUCGUACGCGGUUUGUCACAUCUGCUGUGAAAACCCGAGGCUCAACCGCGGGCUUGCAGUGGGUACGGGCAGGCUAGAGUGCAGUAGGAGAGACUGGAAUUCCUGGUGUAGCGGUAAAAUGCACAGAUAUCAGGAGGAACACCGAUGGCGAAGGCAGGUCUCUGGGCCGCAACUGACGCUGAAGAGCGAAAGCGUGGGUAGCAAACA